UGACUUAUUUGCUUAGCAUUAUAUUCUCAAGGUCUGUUCAUGUUGUCGCAAAUGUCAGUAUUUCAUCUUUUCUGAUGGCUGAGCAGAUUUUUAUACCAUUGAGGACAUGUACC